rnacentral:rRNA from 1 species
GCUCAGAUUGAACGCUGGCGGCAGGCCUAACACAUGCAAGUCGAGCGGUAACAGGUCCAGCUUGCUGGAUGCUGACGAGCGGCGGACGGGUGAGUAACGCAUAGGAAUCUACCCGGUAGUGGGGGAUAACCUGGGGAAACCCAGGCUAAUACCGCAUACGUCCUACGGGAGAAAGGGGGCUUAGGCUCCCGCUAUUGGAUGAGCCUAUGCCGGAUUAGCUGGUUGGUGAGGUAAUGGCUCACCAAGGCGACGAUCCGUAGCUGGUCUGAGAGGAUGAUCAGCCACAUCGGGACUGAGACACGGCCCGAACUCCUACGGGAGGCAGCAGUGGGGAAUAUUGGACAAUGGGGGCAACCCUGAUCCAGCCAUGCCGCGUGUGUGAAGAAGGCCCUCGGGUUGUAAAGCACUUUCAGCGAGGAAGAACGCCUGUCGGUUAAUACCCGGCAGGAAAGACAUCACUC